CUCAGUGUUGGGACCACUUCUGUUUAACAUCUUUAUUGACGAUCUUGAUAAGGACAUAGGGUGUAUCACCAGCAAGUUCACAGAUGACGCCAACUUAAGCAGAGGUGUUGAUUCACAUGAGGAUAGGGAAGCUCUACAGAGAGACUUGGAUACAUUGGAUCAUUGGGCCAACAUUAAUGGUAUGAGCUUCAACAAGGCCAAGUGCCAAGUCCUGCACUUGAGCCACAAUAACCCCGUGCACCACUACAGGCUCGGGGAAGUGUGGCUGGAAACCUGCCUGGCAGAAAAAGACCUGGGGGUUCUAAUUGACAAGCGGCUGAAUAUGAGCCGGCAGUGUGCCCAGGUGGCCAAGAAAGCCAACAGCAUUCUGGCUUGUAUUGGAAAUAGUGUGACCAGCAGAAGUAGGGAGGUGAUUGUCCCCCUGCUCUCAGCACUGGUGAGGCCACACCUCGAGUAUUGUGUCCAGUUCUGGGCACCUCAAUGCAAGAGAGAUAUCGAGGUGCUGGAGCAAGUGCAGAGGAGGGCAACGAAGCUGGUGAAGGGCCUGGAGCAUCAGUCUUAUGAAGAGGGGUUGAAGGAGCUGGGACUGUUUAGUUUGACGAAGAGGAGGCUGAGGGGAGACCUCAUCACUCUCUACAACUACUUGAAAGGACACUGUAAAGAAGUUGGUGCUGGUCUCUUCUCGCAGGUAAUUAGUGACAGAACGAGAGGGAAUGGCUUCAAGCUCCAACAGGGUAGGUUUAGACUGAACAUUAGGAAAGAAUUUUUCACAGAGAGAGUGGUCGGGCAUUGGAAUAGGCUGCCCAGGGAGGUGGUUGAGUCACCAUCCCUGGACGUGUUUAAGAGUCGAUUAGAUGUGGUGUUGGGAGGUAUGGUGCAGGGGAGAACUUUGUAGAGUAGGGCUGAUGGUUGGACUCAAUGAUCCCAAGGGUCUUUUCCAACCUAAAUGAUUCUAUGAUUCUAAGACAAAAUGUCCUUUCACAGAAACGAAAGGUUUUCUAGCACUUUCCCUGGUAGCUGAGGUGCUGUUGGCAACAAUAUACCACAAA
rnacentral:lncRNA from 1 species